CACGUAGGGCGCAAGCGUUGUCCGGAAUUAUUGGGCGUAAAGAGCUCGUAGGCGGUCUGUUGCGUCCGCUGUGAAAACUCGGGGCUUAACCCCGAGCCUGCAGUGGAUACGGGCAGACUAGAGGUAGGUAGGGGAGAAUGGAAUUCCCGGUGUAGCGGUGAAAUGCGCAGAUAUCGGGAGGAACACCGGUGGCGAAGGCGGGCUACUGGGCCGAUACUGACGCUGAUGCGCGAAAGCCAGGGGAGCGAACGGG
rnacentral:rRNA from 1 species